GUCCCGAUAGUCUAAUGGAUAAGACGGCUGAUUCCGGUUCAGCUGAUGCGGGUUCGAUUCCUGUUCGGGAUACCA
rnacentral:tRNA from 1 species